GGAUUAGAUACCCUGGUAGUCCACGCCCUAAACGAUGACAACUAGCUUUGGGAGGAAUCGACCCCUUCCGAGGCGUAGCUAACGCGUUAAGUUGUCCGCCUGGGUAGUACGACCGCAAGGUUAAAACUCAAAGGAAUAGACGGGGACUUGCACAAGCAGUGGAUUAUGCGGUUUAAUUCGAUGACAAACGAAAAACCUUACCAAGGCUAGAAAUCCUAACGACGAAUAGCAGAAACGUUAUUCUUUCGCAAGAACGGUAGGACAGGUGAUGCAUGGCCGUCGUCAGCUCGUGCCG
rnacentral:rRNA from 1 species